CAGAGCAAUUAGCUGAUUCUGGAGAAAGGCAGUUCUAAUGAAACCACCAUUAUGUGCACCGCAAGUGGACUCAAAUGUGGUUCACUUUGUGGAAAUCCCUAAGCGAAGGUACAUAAACGUCAUGCACUGGGGGUAGGCUCAGCAGAAGUUUGCCCUGAUUUUAUUGAGGCAAUUAAGUGACUACAGGCUCUUUUGUAGAUAAGGUAGGAAGCAGUCUGUGAGCAGAUGUUUUUGGUAUUAUUUCAAGUACUUGAUUUUCAUAGAGAGGAAAUUGAACGUGGUCUGAUCCACUAAAUAUAUGGCACCAGUGACAAGCAUGCUGGGCUGAUAAUCACUCCUACCACACAGCUGGGUGUAGUAAACUGUCUGCCCACAACCACAUUAAAUAGAAGGAGGAGGAAAGAAGCUGCACUGCAUACAGUAAUGCUUUUAGCAUUGUAAUGGUGUGGGAAGACAGGGAAUGGGGAAGUCAUGGUAUUUAUUUCCACCUGGUAUAAAAGUUUAGGCUAGGCUAGCACCUUCAACUCAUAAUUCCUAUGCAUUGGUUCACAUACGUGUAUGUAUAUGAAAACGAGCAACGAUGGUGCUACGAACUACUUCCACGUUAGAAUGUUAGCAUAUUAGCACAUCUCUUUUAACGUAGGUAUUUGUAAGUGUUGACAUACUUUAAGCCACAUCUGUCAUUGCUAAUGUGUACUAGCGCGUGACUAAUGUGAGAAAGCAGAAGAGAAAGCAAAGGCAAACAAGCUAACCCAAUACAAAGGAAAAGUGGUUAAGGAUACUGGGAUUGACUAAUAAGGACUGAAAACCGGAGCAUUUAAAGAGGAAAAACGCAAUAGCGUCUGCUCACAAAUACUGUAUUUGUGGUCAGUCAGUACACUUUUGCAGGCAUAAAACCAGUAGAAACUUUGUCCUCCUCUGAACUGGUUGCACAGGCAGCAGUGUUUAGAAACAGCUUGUACCUGUGCUGGCUGGGUUUCGGGUGAUGCAUCUCUGAAAACUGUACUCUCCAGGUCACGCUAUUCAGUGUGUGGCAAGAAGUAACCAGGGGGAGAGGAAAACUCGUGCUCGGCUUUCUGGGAACUGUUUGCUCUGUUCCUCCUAACCUUCGUCUUGUUUUGAGUUUAACCAAAGCUGGUUAAGAAACGUGAGGAACAUUUUCCAUUUAAUUUGAUGUGGUGCAGCUGCCUCCUGGAGGAGAGUUUGACAACAUUCCCUGGGUCUUGUGGUCCUCAGAGGUUUUCUGUAGGAGUUGCAGGCUGUGCUAGCACUGCUUAUACAGUGAGCUUUGUUACAGGCUGUGUGCUUGUCUGUGUGCUGGCUUGCUGCAGGGAGUUUGUCCUGAUCAUCCAGAAAGAUCACUUGGCAGUAGAGCGCAGAAGCUGAGCCCCAUGAACAAAGCAGCUGAUAUCAGGAGGAAACUGGAGGUGUAGAAGACAUAGUGGAAAUCAUUGGUUAUGUCCACCAGGAGACCUGAAAUAGAAACCACAGCUUAGUCAAAGAGGAGAUGCAUAUUAAAGACAACUGUAUGGCAUUCGCAGAAACAUUAGACCUAAAUAAUUCAGCCAACUGCCAUAUACAAAAGAUAAGCAUUCACAGAUGAGUUAAGUUCUCUUUUCCAGAUUCUAGAGCUUGUUUGCACUCAUCGCUCAGGUGGUGUUUCUUUUUCUAUAUAAAGUAUUUUUCAGUAAACAGAGAAAUCAGCAAAGAAAGGAAACUGUAACUUUUUCCCAACCUGCUGAUUCACUUUGUUUACUUAGCAGAGGACCCCUGUGCCACUUCCUGGAUUUUGGAAUGAGUGACUCUGUUACAUUCCAGGUCAGAAAACAGAACAAAUAAAGAAAGAACUCUCACAAAAAUGACGUGUUGGAGUCUCUAAGCUGAAGACUUGUCUCUAAAAGUAUGUAACUGGGGAGGAGAAAAAAAUCACAGCGCAGCAGGCAUUAUAACAAACAUUAAGUAUCUCAAUGUAAAACAUUUAGACGGGUGAUAUAUCAAGUGAGUAAUUUAACAUUAAUGCUGGAUACUGAAAGGUAAUAUUCAGGUAAACAUAUGAUGACUCUUUUUGAGACUGCUUAAUUAUAUGGAAAUAUGGGAGUAAUUUUUUUAAUAGAUUUUAGGUUGCUAGAGAUUGAGCUUCCCUUACUGUACUUUGUUUUUGGCUAUCUGCCUUUUCCAUCAGAGAUGUCCAAGAUCUGUUUUGCACUUUGAGAAAAGUGACUGACACACUUUGCCUGGGAAUACCAUUAAAUAUAGUGUAUAUUAUUCCAUUCUUAGAUAUUUUCCUGCUGGAUGGAACACAAUUCAUUGUUUGGAGAAGAGAACUAAAAUCUGAAUAGAGGAUUCAUGCUCAGGUUCACAUUUGUUUGUCAGUCUUUUGAAUGAGCUGCUGCAGAGCAGGAGCAGGUGUGUCUUGGACAGGUCAAUUAGUGGUGGUUGGAGUGAACUGUGAAACCACUGAAUAAUUUAUUGGAUUGGGGGCUUAACUAGUUCCCUUCCUUGUCUCCAGAGAAAAAUGAAUACACUCCAGAACACAGAAAGUGAGUAGAGGAGCCUUUUACUAUAAGCUUCUUCAAUUAUAUGGAGCUGGUAACACUUCUGAUCAGAGUAAACUUCUGAUCAAUGUGUUGAAUGGGAUGUUUGCAAUUUCUUGAGGCUUCAUAGAUAAAUCAAUGCAGACUAGCAAAGCAGUGAAAGAAUUCUAAAACAGCAAGAUCAUACCACUGUAAUUCCUCUCUGUGUCCUGCCACUCAGGGAAAAAGUUCUCAGCAUUCUCAUGCCUAUUGAAGCUGCCAGCCAAAUGGGAAACUUUUUCACUGUCUGCAGUUGCUUCAGUGACACUUGGGCCACUACAGAAAUGACCCUUGUUCAGCAGUGAGAUGGGGCUGAUCUUUCCUUUCUGACUCUCCCUUUUAUAUUGCUCCCUUUGCAUAACUCAGCUGCCUGUGUGGACUUAGAAACUCCCUCAUUCCUCCUCUUUAUGCUCCCAAACACUUGUCACCAGUGUCUAAAAAAGCUGUUUUUGCUCCAGCCUGCUUUAAUAGCUUUUCUCACCUGUGAGAGGGGGUCCAAUGAGGAGAGUGAUACUCUCCAGGAUUGUGAAGAGCCCUAGAGCACUUGAGAACCUGUCCAUCUCCACCACAUCCAUCAGCACCUGGAAGGUGAGUGCCCCAAUGCCACUCAUGGCUAUGCUGAGGAUGACGCAGUAGACGAUGAGCACGUUGAACUCAGCUGAAAUGAUGCAAAUGAAAUUGCUCAGCCCGCAGAGGAGCACAGCCAGGCUGAACAGGUAGAUGCGUCUUCCUGUGAAGAUUCUGUGUCCCGAAAGCAGCCCUGUCAAAGGGCGUAUGAAGAUGUUGAUGAACCCAAUAAUGGAGAUGAGGAGGGCUGCCUUGCGUUCCUCCACCCCAUUCUGGAUGGCAUAAGGUACUAGGUAGACGUGGGGUAACACAAACCCCAUCAUCAUCCAGGUCACUCCGAUAGUGUAAAUCUGGUAACCCUUGUUUUGACAGAAGAUAUCAAAAGCCAGGUACUUCUGCAGCACCUGGAAGCAUGCAGUCUUUCUGUUUUGCUGCUGGUACUUUAGGUGGGGAGAAGAUGCUCCAUUGGACAGCUGUGCCUCUUCUGCUCCUCUCCCUGAAUCCUCUCCAGGCCUGGGUAACUGUACAAGUGAUCCUGAAGCAAGUUGCACUGGUCUCAUAAUGGCUCCGCAGACACAACAGUUCAAUAGUAUUCCUCCAAAGAUAAGGAAAGUGUUUCUCCAGCCCAUCUCGUCCAGCAUGUAUUGAGAAAGCAGCGGCCACAGUGUGAAACCGAGAGAGACGCCGGUGGAUGCCAUGGCGUUAGCCAAUGUUUGCCACCGCACAAAGUAGUGGCCCAGCGCAGUCAGUCCAGCCUGGAAGCUGAAACAUGAUCCCAGACCUAAAGGUAAGAAGGAAAAACAACAGCACGUGAUCCCUCUGCGGUGUCCUGCAGGGUAAAAAGAGCCCGGCCCCGUGGGGUACUCACAGAUGACUUCAAUCUACCACUAGGCAUAUCCUCGCCUGCCGGGCUGCACAACCUCCGGUGAUUAAUACUCAGCAACCCCACACUAGAGAUGAAGAAGGGUAUUGUGCAUAAAUUUAACUCCUUGUGUUCUCAGGAAUACUAAAUACACUGUCUAAGGUGAUGUUUGUCAUGGCUGCACUGCCAUGUUUACGAUCGUUAUGGAAUUGUUCAUUAGAAAAACUAUAGUUUUACUGCAUGCAGCAGGCAGUGCUGCCUUCCUGAUGCUUUCUUCAGGGCCCAGGGAGUUAAUUCUUGUUUUUCUCUGUGCAGCAAACACAGCUUAGCUUACAAGAGCCAAAAGACUUGGUCCCAAAGUGACCCGGCUACAGAAUUUCAUUUCUCUUUGUUAGAAGAAAAUAUGGGUUGAGAAACAGUUACAUAGGAGAAAUAUUUGGAAAGGAAAAGUUCCCAUCUGUGACUUCUGUUCAAAACCAACACGUUCUUUUGUUAGAGAAAGAUGACUCCAUAUUUCCCCAGAUAGGGAGUGGUGAAACCCAAGCCCAAGGGACUUGUGAAGGAUGUUGUCCCAACACAUUGUGUUUCACGGAAAAACCUCCCCUCUUCAAAGACAAAAGGCUGUGAAGCUCCUAAAGAGAACAGACAUGUUUUGGCUCUCCACUUCACCCCUUAGAGACCUGCAACCUUUUCCAGAGAGAAGCACGUUCCAGUGAGCUCGGCUGGGCGAGGUGUGUUAAAGGGGUGUGAAGGGCAAGUCUAUCCAGCAUGCAAUUCCUGCUGAGCUGUGGGGCUUUUGAUUUAUCCUAUUUCACAGCUGAGUGAAAAACGUGAGCACUUAGUCUGGACUCUCACCACUUCCCGGCUCUCAAAUAAAGGGCAGCAGCUGGGUUUUCCUGCUGUUCCUUGGUACUUACCAGUGAUGAGGCCAGCUGUUAAGUAAAGCUGGCCGAGGGACUUGCAGAAGGAGCUGGACACCAUGCCCACGCUGCUGAGCAGGCCUCCCAACAUCACGGCAAACCUGUAGCCAAAUCGCUUCACCAGGAUGCUGCAGAGGGGUCCUAGGAGCAGUCAGAGAAGCAAAAGGGAGGCAGUUAGAGAGGCAGGAAUUAUUUCAUAGCUGCUAGACUGCUGCAGUUAUCGAACAGUUUAUUCUACAGAUUAUCCCAGCUGCAUAAUGCAGUGGGGGAGCCAGAAACAGAAAAUACAUUCCCUGGUCCUCCAAAGUGCUUGGUCAGCUUGGUACAUGAAGGGAAUGCUCCUCUGCUUGGAUUUUGGUCAUGAAGUAGGAUUCCUUAAGCUUCCCUGUGAUGGAUUUUAGGUAAAACUCUCAGAAAUGGAAUGGAAAAAGGACCUUCAAGUGUAAUUCUGUUCUCAUAUGAUAUCCGUUCUGGGAAUGAUUUGAAAAAGGAGAGGACUUGGAUUUUUGUGCCCCUGAGUAGGAGAUGCAGAGUGGGUGUUGUUUUCUGCUUGCAUGUUUCCACUCUCAUUUUGCUGUGUUUUUCAAAUAUUCUGCCACAGAAUCUUGUCAAUUGCCGUUGGCGUCCUGCUACAUAGGUGAAAUUCCCUGCAACAGAAGGCACGUUGACUCUGAAAAUGAUCCAGAAUGGGAGAAAGAGGAUUGUCCUUGAGGAAGAUCAUCUGAAAACAGCUGGAAGCAUGUUCAUGUCUGCAUCGGAAUCAGUCUAAGCUUCAGGCUGUGGCAUCCAAGCUCCAGCUUGUGGAGUCUUGCAGCUGUCCUGCAAGUCAUCUCCCCAUGAAAAUAAUAAGAUGUUUUUGCCAGUGCAGCUCUUUGCACGUGCCUGUCCUGGCAUACCUGGCCGGGGUGGGUAGGCAUGACUGUGUCCACUUCCAAGAGGACGAAGCCUAGGAGCAGAACAUGCACCAACAACGCAGAGGCAAGGGCAAGACCUGGGUGCUCCUGGUGGGCUUGGGUCUGCCCUUCUGGAGCAGAAAUCUGGGUCUUACUGUGUGCGUACAUUGCCGGCAGGCUUUUCUAAGUAGGACUUAGGUUAUUUCAUCAGAGAAAGCAAUGAACAAAUAGGCACGGAGAUACGUGCUUAAGGUCAGUUAAUUCUGUAAUUUUCAAAGGCUGUUGGUGAGUUCCAUGAUAUUGGGGUAAAUCACCAGUUUGAUAAUGUCAUGGGUUUAGUGUGCUUCAUUUUGGGGUAGAAGGAGAUUAGUUCAGGCCUGUCAAUGGAAAACAUGGUUCUCCCUUAGAGGAGAAACUGAAGGGAGAGUUGCUCCUUUUGUGUUCCCAUGAGGAUCCUCAUGCUUUUCCAUUUUUUUUUUUUUUUUUUUUCCCCUCUUCAUAACCCAUCAGGUUAUGUAAGCAAAUUCAGAAUGACUGCAAGUUUCAGAGUUAGGAAUCAAUCUGUGGGGAAAAUAACCUGUGGCAUAUUUGUGACUUAAGACAACACCUGGUUGGAAAUAAAAUCCACAUAGUCAAGCAAGCAGAGGAACAUUGUUAAAAUCAGGACUGCAGCUGUCUGUAUUUUGAUCUGCUUGGGAGAUUUUCACCUUGGACUUCAACUGGCCUUUGAAGAAGUAUUCACCAGGCUCAGCAAACCAGUGACUGCAUUAUUUUUCCUCUCACUGAGGAGAUUAAGGAUGGUACUGCUGUUUAAUCAACCUGAGUAGCCAGAAAUCAUAAAUAAAACAUGCCAAAAUCAUGAGAUUGGCUCAAAAAAUCCUAACUAUUUUUCAUUACUUAUUCCUGCCAACUUGCUUUCUAGGUUUCAAAUAUUAUUGCUCACUUGCUUGGGGCUUUUGUGCUUUUCUUUGCAAAAAUAUUUCCAAUAGAACUUCUGCAUUUGUACUAGUGCAAGCCCAGAGAUUUAUGUUUGCAUGAAUAUCUAGAAGCAGGAGCCUGUAAGGGCUUGCACUCCUGUAUUUCCCCCUUUGGAGUCAGCCAUAGGAUCCUGAAGUCUCAAAUGAUUCUUAUAACAAAAUAACUAGUAAUGGCUUUUACCUAGGAACAUGGUGAUGAGCUAUGUUUGCUUUAUUAAAUUAAGUGCUAUUCUUCACACUGUGCCCUUCCCUGUUUCCUUUCCCAUCUCUGCUGAGCUGAGGUUAGUUCUCCUGCGUGGACCUUCUCACUCUACUGACAAAUCUGAGAAUGGAGCACGCUGUCUGUUUCCUUUGCUGUCUACUAUUUUUGCAACAAAUAUUUAUUUUUCCCUUCAGGUCCUCUGAAUUAAGAGUAAAGGAGAAGAAAAGUGAGAAGGAUGUUUGAGAUCCUGGUGACAGAGCAGAAAACAGUUUUGGAAAGGGUUUAAAUGCCAAGUUGUGUUAGUCCCAAUUUAAGCUACUGUGGGAUGAGAACAAAUUCUCCUCUACUGUAACAGCCUGCAAUAGGAGACACAACUGGCAAGUGAAGUAACAAUGCUCUUGCAGUCCACUGGUUAUGCCGUUACAAAUUCUAUUAGUGAAUAUAAUCACCAUGAGGCUUUUCGUUCCUUGUGUCAUUUACAACUUUUGGAUCUGUUUGUUGGCUGUCUUUAUCUUACCUUUCACUGUGGUCCCAGCCUCUUACAAAACAAUUACUUCAUUAUAGGAGACGUGAUAUUUUCUUGCAGAUGCAGCCAGAGUUGUCUUUCCCUGGCUCAUUGGGACUGAGCUGCUUUUCAGACCAUUUCCCAGGGCCACCAGCUCCUGUUCAGCUCCUUCCCACUAACAGCAGCCGGGCCACAGGGGUUGGAAGCCCACCAGGCCUUUGAAUUCAAGGACCCAAGACACUGCUCUAUUUCUGCCAAACUUCAGUGAUGAUUCCUCCCAUAGCUGCUUCCCCUGAGGUCUCUUUCUGUCUGUGCCUUGCAAUUCUUGACCAGCUGCUUCUGCUAAGGUGCAAGCUCUUUCCCCAUGCCAUGCUGUCAAGUCUUACCCAGGAGACACUGAACCCAUCAUAGCUGUCGCACCAGCAUGACUGGGGGCUCUGCUUUUAGUUUUUUUUUUUUAUAUUUCCACCCCCAUACUGUAGUGUCACCUUUAAUCAGUAUUGGAAAGGAGCAGGAAUGAACUAAUGGAGCAGCUCAGAUACCCGGGUGGCUUAGAUACUUUGCUCCCCGCUGCUAGGUGGGGUUCAAGUAGUCUGUUUAUCACACAAGCAUGGGAGCUGCAUGUGGAGGGGUCAGCAGCAAGACAGGACUGCUUGUUGGGAGGUCCUCGAGCUGUUGGGUGUGUUUUUCUCCUCUAUGCAGAGCUAUCAGUCUGGAUGUGGCUCUGGGUGCCCUGUCCUGUGCAGCCCCUCAUUUUUUCUGGGGAAAGUUUUCUGGGGGUGAUUUGCUUAGUUUUUCAGGGCUUGAUUUGGUGCUCUGUCUGCAAUGUACCACCCUUCUCCGUCCCCCUUCACCUGGAGACCUGCCUGACCUGCAUCCUGCACUAAACCAGCUGCCCUCACCUUGAUACCUGCUGGGGCGUGUGCUCCACGCCACCGCCCAGGGGCUGCUUUAACCCUGUGCCAGCAGCCUGGAGGGGCUCAAACUGGGCAGCUUCUCAGCCCUGAAGAACGCGGUGGUCAUAUGGAAGGAGAGAGAAUGGAAGGAAGAGCCCAAGCUCACCCUCACCUUUGGCGAAAGGUCUUGGUUAUCGCUUAGAGUGGCAAAGGGGAGCGUUGUGUCUGCAGACCCUUGGCUUUGGACUCUGUGGGCAUGGAUCAAAGCAGCCUGUGUGCUGCCAACCAGCCAUACCUCCCGGUCCCUUCCACCUUCCUCCUCAGGGAAAUGCUGGAAGUGCCCUCAUAACGGCCCCUCGUCAGCACCAGCACCUCAGGAGACAGCGGCGGACAUUUGCCGCGGCCUUUACUCACCGCCUC